CUACGGGGGGCAGCAGUGGGGAAUAUUGCACAAUGGGCGAAAGCCUGAUGCAGCAACGCCGCGUGCGGGAUGAAGGCCCUAGGGUUGUAAACCGCUUUCAGCAGGGAAGAAAAUGACGGUACCUGUAGAAGAAGGUGCGGCCAACUACGUGCCAGCAGCCGCGGUGACACGUAGGCACCAAGCGUUGUCCGGAUUUAUUGGGCGUAAAGAGCUCGUAGGCGGUUCAGUAAGUCGGGUGUGAAAACUCUGGGCUCAACCCAGAGACGCCACCCGAUACUGCUGUGACUAGAGCGCGGUAGGGGAGCGGGGAAUUCCUAGUGUAGCGGUGAAAUGCGCAGAUAUUAGGAGGAACACCAGUGGCGAAGGCGCCGCUCUGGGCCGUAACUGACGCUGAGGAGCGAAAGCGUGGGUAGCAAACAGGAUUAGAUACCCCCGUAGUC
rnacentral:rRNA from 1 species